rnacentral:rRNA from 2 species
AGAGUUUGAUCCUGGCUCAGGAUGAACGCUAGCUACAGGCUUAACACAUGCAAGUCGAGGGGCAUCAGGAAGAAAGCUUGCUUUCUUUGCUGGCGACCGGCGCACGGGUGAGUAACACGUAUCCAACCUGCCCUUUACUCGGGGAUAGCCUUUCGAAAGAAAGAUUAAUACCCGAUAGCAUAAUGAUUCCGCAUGGUUUCAUUAUUAAAGGAUUCCGGUAAAGGAUGGGGAUGCGUUCCAUUAGGUUGUUGGUGAGGUAACGGCUCACCAAGCCUUCGAUGGAUAGGGGUUCUGAGAGGAAGGUCCCCCACAUUGGAACUGAGACACGGUCCAAACUCCUACGGGAGGCAGCAGUGAGGAAUAUUGGUCAAUGGGCGCUAGCCUGAACCAGCCAAGUAGCGUGAAGGAUGAAGGCUCUAUGGGUCGUAAACUUCUUUUAUAUAAGAAUAAAGUGCAGUAUGUAUACUGUUUUGUAUGUAUUAUAUGAAUAAGGAUCGGCUAACUCCGUGCCAGCAGCCGCGGUAAUACGGAGGAUCCGAGCGUUAUCCGGAUUUAUUGGGUUUAAAGGGAGCGUAGGUGGACUGGUAAGUCAGUUGUGAAAGUUUGCGGCUCAACCGUAAAAUUGCAGUUGAUACUGUCAGUCUUGAGUACAGUAGAGGUGGGCGGAAUUCGUGGUGUAGCGGUGAAAUGCUUAGAUAUCACGAAGAACUCCGAUUGCGAAGGCAGCUCACUGGACUGCAACUGACACUGAUGCUCGAAAGUGUGGGUAUCAAACAGGAUUAGAUACCCUGGUAGUCCACACAGUAAACGAUGAAUACUCGCUGUUUGCGAUAUACAGUAAGCGGCCAAGCGAAAGCAUUAAGUAUUCCACCUGGGGAGUACGCCGGCAACGGUGAAACUCAAAGGAAUUGACGGGGGCCCGCACAAGCGGAGGAACAUGUGGUUUAAUUCGAUGAUACGCGAGGAACCUUACCCGGGCUUAAAUUGCAGUGGAAUGAUGUGGAAACAUGUCAGUGAGCAAUCACCGCUGUGAAGGUGCUGCAUGGUUGUCGUCAGCUCGUGCCGUGAGGUGUCGGCUUAAGUGCCAUAACGAGCGCAACCCUUAUCUUCAGUUACUAACAGGUUAUGCUGAGGACUCUGGAGAGACUGCCGUCGUAAGAUGUGAGGAAGGUGGGGAUGACGUCAAAUCAGCACGGCCCUUACGUCCGGGGCUACACACGUGUUACAAUGGGGGGUACAGAAGGCAGCUAGCGGGUGACCGUAUGCUAAUCCCAAAAGCCUCUCUCAGUUCGGAUCGAAGUCUGCAACCCGACUUCGUGAAGCUGGAUUCGCUAGUAAUCGCGCAUCAGCCACGGCGCGGUGAAUACGUUCCCGGGCCUUGUACACACCGCCCGUCAAGCCAUGGGAGCCGGGGGUACCUGAAGUACGUAACCGCAAGGAUCGUCCUAGGGUAAAACUGGUGACUGGGGCUAAGUCGUAACAAGGUAGCCGUACCGGAAGGUGCGGCUG